UGUCAUUUCGUCUUGUGAUGCGUUUGGCCCAGGUACAUGCAUCUCUGACCUAACUAUAAGUAACUGUGGUUUUGCCAUGUGAUGCUAAUUUUCUAUAUAGUUCACAAUAUUGAGUUGUAUGGAUCUUAUGGCAUCUGGUCCAUGUUGAAGCAUAACUUGACAUAUUGUCUGGGUAUUCUUCUAAACAAUGUUCUUUUUAUGAAUAUGCAGAAGGAGGAUGUUUCAUGCCUUUCUUGCAAUGCGAUCUAGACAUGUGCAGGCGUGACUGCAACGGUUUAUUUGCCUAUUGCACACCGGUAGGAGAAUUUCACCACCGUUGUUGUUGCGCUCCCAAGAAACUCAGUGCAUCUGUUGAUAAGAAUAGUCGUCCUUGAUAUAUGCAUUCCUAAAUUGUAGUUUAUAUGUCACUGCUUUUUCUCGGAUCGAAUGCUACCCGAUUAAAUAAAAUUUAUCGCCAUUGAAAAAAAUACUGCUCCCAAGAUAUUUACGUAUCGUGUGAAACUGUAAUGCUUCGUUUGUAUGUUCAUAUUCAGACUUCGACAUUGAUAUUGGGGCCAAUAUCAAUUUAAUUUGGACAUUGAUAUGGACAUUUAAGAUAAAUUCUGCUCUUUGGAUGUUGAUAUAUUUGACACUUAGACAUUGACAUUGAGACCAAUUUUAAAUCUUGCUUAGAUGUCCAUAUUGUUCAUUUGGCACUUGGCCGACAUGUCAUACUCUGUCUGGCCUCCACAAUUUUCCGUCGACUUCUCUUCUGGCGGAACGAUCACUGCCGACAAUCGUACGAUUGACAUGCAAAAAGAGGGGUUGGAAAAAAGGGAGGAAUUGGAGCUAUGCUCGUCCCAUGCCCUUUCUCAUCCCCUCACGGAACUCGACCCUCACCUUCCCCUCGUGUCGCCGUCGAUGCAGAGCCACGAUGCCGCCAAUAACCCCUCUUUACAACUCCAUUUCUUUUUUAGUGCCAGCCAGUCUCGUGCACUACAUCCUCCGCUGCCUCCAGCUUCAUCCGCGUGAGUGCACUAUGCUCCAUCCUCAGAGGACGAAUGCUUUCCCGCUGCUGCCGACUUCGAGUUCGGCUCACGCCAUAGCCACGACAUUGCAUUGAUGACCCCACCAUGAGCUCCGGCGAGGAGGCAUUUCACUCUGGUGGCAUCCGCGUUGGCUACCUUUCCCCCAUCCACCAAGAAACGGGCCACGAGGAGCGGGAGGAGCUGGGCGGCUUCGACAACCAUGCAUGUGCGGCGGCCUCACUGCGUCAGGUUAGCUCGAAGGGGGAAGCGGCCGGCUGGGCACUGCGGCUCGUAGGGGGAAGUGGAGGUCGUGGUCGUAGGCAAGGAGGAAGCGCUUGGGUCCAUGACUCCUUCCCCUUUUACCUUAAUGGGUAUUAGGGAAUCUCCAAUGUUGACCCCCAAAUAGACAUCGUAUCCAUCUACGGAACGGUGGGGAGCACUCCUCGGACACUGAUACGGGAGCCAUUCAUCCAAAGUUGUUUCCUAAACAGGGUCAGCCCUGUGUUUUGGAAGGCCCUAGGGCGAACUCGACAACAUGGGACCCUAAGUCGUAAGACCAUAUAUAUGUGUGGACAAUCAAAUUUAAUUGGGGUGACUCAUCAUAAAAGUAAAUAGAUAGGCCCUUCGCACAGGGAAGCAGGGAUUUGUAGAGGUGCCAGAGCUCGAUUUUGAAACAGAGAUAGAUAAUAUUUUGAGCGGCAUACUUUCAUUGUCAACAUAACAACCGAGAGAUCUCGAUAUCUUCCAUGCUACACACAUUAUAGGCGGUUCCCAAGCAGAAUGGUAAAGUUUAUACUCCCCCAGCACUAACAAGCAUCAAUCCAUGGCUUGCCCGAAACGACGGGUGCCUCCAACUAACAACAGUCCUGGGGGAGUUUUGUUUGCAAUUAUUUUGAUUUGGUUUGAGCAUGGGACUGGGCAUCCCGGUGACCAACCAUUUUCUCGUGAGUGAGGAGCGGAGUCCACUCCUCUUGAGAAUAACCCGCCUAGCAUGGAAGAUACAGACAGUCCUAGUUGAGACAUGAGCUAUUCGAGCAUACAAAACAGAAUUUCAUUUGAAGGUUUAGAAUUUGGCACAUACAAAUUUACUUGGAACGGCAGGUAGAUACCGCAUAUAGGAAGGUAUGAUGGACUCAUAUGGAAUAACUUUGGGGUUUAUGGAAGUGGAUGCACACGCAGUAUUCCCCCUUAGUACAAGUCAAGGCUAGAAAAGGACUGGGAAGCGACCAACUAGAGAGCGACAACAGUCAUGAACAUGCAUUAAAAUUAAUCAACACUGAGUGCAAGGAUGAGUAGGAUAUAAUUCACCAUGAACAUAAAUAUCGUGGAGGCUAUGUUGAUUUUGUUUCAACUACAUGCGUGAACAUGUGCCAAGUCAAGCCACUCGAACCGUUCAAAGGAGGAUGCCACCAUAUCAUACCACAUCACAACCAUUUGAAUAGCAUGUUGGCACGCAAGGUAAACCAUUAUAAACUACUAGCUAAUUAAGCAUGGCAUGAGCAACUAUAAUCUCUAAUUGUCAUUGCAAACAUGUUUCAUUCAUAAUAGGCUGAAUCUGGAACGAUGAACCAAUCAUAUUUACAAAAACAAGAAAGGUCGAGUUCAUACCAGCUUCUCUUAUCUCAAUCGAUCCAUCAUAUAUCAUCAUUAUUGCCUUUCACUCGCACGACCAAACGGUGUGGAUAAUAAUAAUAGUGCACGUGCAUUGGACUAAGCUGGAAUCUGCAAGCAUUUAAUUCAAGGGAGAAGACAAGGUAAUAUGGGCUCUUGGUUAAAUCAACAAUAAUGCAUAUAAGAGCCACUUUAACAUUUUCAUCAUGGUUCUCUCCUAUCGACCCCCAAAGAAAAGAGAAGAAAUAAAACUAUUUACACGGGAAAGCUCCCAACAAACAAAAGAAGAACGAGAAAUCUUUUUUGGGUUUUCUUUUAGUUACUACUACUACAGGCAUGGAAAGUAAACGGCUACAACUAUUUUUUUUAUUUUCUUAAGGUUUUUCAAACACACCAGAAGAAGCUUAGAACUAGAAAAUAAACUAGCAUGGAUAAUACCAUGAAAAAGUAUGAGCACCGACAACUGGCAUGAGUGUGUGAACAAGAAUGUAAUGUCUGUGAGAAAUACGUACGCCCCCAAGCUUAGGCUUUUGGCCUAAGUUGGUCUAUACCCACGGAUGGCCUGGCGGGUAUCCAAAGUUGUAACUGGGGUCGUACUGAGAUGUAGCAGCUACUGCCUCAAGAGUUGCAGCUUGGAGGCGAGCUGCCUCCGUCCUGCUCUCGUACUCGUUUGCCUCCUCUCUGGUUAUAACAUAUCUCCUUUUUGCGUGAAAGUCAAAGAAAGUAGGAGCAGGGAGAGUAAUAUGGACAACGUGACGUCUGUCAAAGAUUAGUCGAUACUUGAGAGACUGUUGAUUCCUCUCAACAAACUGAUGACGAACCAUAGCAUUAAAAUCUAGAUAAGCAGGAGGCAACUCCAUAUCAUUUUCAUGAAUGGGGUACCUCAAGAAAAUUAGCUAAACAGGCUGCAUAAAUUCCCCCAAACAAAUCUCCGCUAAUACUGUUAUGAUGCAACCUUCGUGCAACAAUAGCUCCCAAGUUAUAUUGUUUAUCUCUCUAAUACAGCACUCUUGAGAACACUAAGAUCGGGAACGCACAUGUGACAUGCCUCGUCCUUACCGUUAAUACAUCUACCUACAAAGAGAGAAAAUAAUGUAUGGCAGGAAAAUGAAUGCUUCCUAUGGUAGCUUGCGUGAUUUCCCUAGAUUCCCCCACAGUUAUACUAGCAAGAAAGUCUUUAUAUUCAGAUUUGCGAGGUUCACUAGCACUACCCCACUGCGGGAGUUUACAAAUAGUAUUAAAAUCCUCUAAAUCCAUGGUAUAAGAUUUAUCAUAAAUAUCAAACAGGACCAUGUGAGAAUUGCGUGAUGAUGUAAAUUUAAACCUUCUCACAAAAGAGUCAGUUAGGUAGUAGUAUUGAGGGCACUUAUCUGACACGAAGCCCUCGAGUUCAGCAUUACGCACAUACGCGUCAAACUCCUCCUUAAUGCCCGCUUGAACCAUAAAAUCUUCUGACGACCAUUCACAAGGCCGCACUUGAGCUUCUCUUGCUAGUUCAUAGUCCGGCUCACAUAUUGUGAGCCUUGGUGCUUGCUUCUUUGAUGAACCACCUUGGUAAAUUUUCCUAAACAUAUUUCUUCCUCUGGAAAAUUUCUGAAAUUUUUAGUUACUCAAAAAUAAAAGUGAACCAAACUCAACAAGAUUGGUAGCAACUACUCCCACAAGUGCCUAGAGACUAUAUCAUGCAUUAGAACUACUUGGGACCAUAUAAAUUUGACAUGCAAGCUCAAGAACAGGGUCACCUAAGCAGCAAAAAUUUGCAAUAAAUAAAGCACUAGAACAAAAACUAAUUGGACCAUUGGAGGAGUCACAUACCGAAGAACAAUCCCCAAAAGCAGUUUUGUGAGUGGGGCUUUGAGCAAGGAGAUCGAAAAUCGCAGCAAGAUGAGCUAGAACACGGGUUUGAGCUGUGUGGUGAUUUUUUCUGGAGGAAGACGAAAUGUGUCGGUGCAUGAAUAAGUGGAGGGGGUCCACGUGGGGCCCACGAGGUAGGGGCGCACGCAGGGGGUGGUGCGCGCCCUGGACCCUCGUGGCCAGGUGGUGGCUCCCCCUGGUGUGUUCUCAGUGCCAGAUAUUCUUAAAUAUUCUACAAAAAAUCAUAUUUCAAUUUCGGGGCAUUUGGAGAACUUUUAUUUUCGGGGUAUUUUUUAUUGCAUGGACAAUUUAGAAAACAGACAGAAAAUACUCCUUUUGAUUUAUUUAAUCUAAAUAACAGAAAGUAAAAGGAGGGUACAAAGAGUUGUGCUUUCUAACUUCAUCCAUCUCAUGCUCAUCAAAAGGAAUCCACUAACAAGGUUGAUCAAGUCUUGUUAACAAACUCAUUCCGAAUCGCAUGAAACCGGAGAAUUUUCAAAUAGCACUAGGUUACCUCAACGGGAAUAUGGACAUCCCCAAAAAUAAGAAUAUCAUAUUUCUUCUUGACAGUAGCAAGAGGAAAUUCAAAAGGCAUAACACUAUUCAAAUCAAGUCUACAAUAUAAAGAGAGAGGCAUAACACUAACACCGGCUCCAAGAUCACAUUAAGCAGUUUUAACAUAGUUUCUUUUAAUGGAGCAGGGUAUAGUUGGUACUCCUGGAUCUCCAAGUUUCUUAGGUAUUCCACCCUUAAAAGUAUAAUUAGCAAGCAUGGUGGAAAUUUCAGCUUCCGGUAUCUUUCAUUUAUUUGUAACAAUAUCUUUCAUGUACUUAGCAUAGGGAUUCAUUUUAAGCAUAUCAGUCAAACGCAUACGCAAAAAGAUAGGUCUAAUCAUUUCAGCAAAGCGCUCAAAAUCCUCAUCAUCCUUUUCCUUGGAUGGCUUAGGAGGAAAAGGCAUGGGUUUCUGAACCCAUGGUUCUCUUUCUUUACCGUGCUUCCUAGCAACAAAGUCUUUCUUAUCAUAACGUUGAUUCUUUGAUUGUGGGUUAUCAAGAUCAACAUCAUGUUCAAUCUCUACAUCAUUAUUAUUGCUAGGUUGAGCAUCAACAUGAACAUCAUCAUUAACAUUAUCACUAGGUUCAUGUUCAUCACCAGAUUGUGUUUCAGCAUCAGAAACAGAAAUAUCAUUGGGAUUCUCAAGUGUGUCAACAACAGGUUCACUAGAGGCAUGCAAAGUCCUAUCAUUUUUCUUUUUCUUCCUCUUAGAUGGACUAGGUGCAUCAACAUUAGUUCUCUAAGAAUCUUGCUCAAUUCUCUUAGGGUGGCCCUCAGGAUACAAAGGUUCCUGAGUCAUUUUGCCCCCUCUAGUCAUAACUCUAACAACAUUAUCAUUUUUCUUAUUAUUUAAUUCAUUGAGCAAAUCAUUUUGAGCUUUAAGCACUUGUUCAACUUGAGUGGUGACCAUAGAAGCAUAUUUACUAAUAAGGUUAAGUUCACCUUUAACUCUAGACAUAUAAUCACUCAAGUGUUCAAUCAUAUAAGCAUUGCGUUUCAAUUGUCUACCAACAUAAGCAUUGAAGUUUUCCAUUUUAACCAUAAAGUCAUCAAACUCAUCCAAGCAUUGGCUAGUAAACUUAGUCGACGGUAUUUCAACUUUAUCAUAUCUAUAGAGAGAAUUUACCUUUACUACCUGUGUCGGGUUAUCAAGACCACACAUUUCUUCAAUAGGCGGUAAAUUUAGACUAUGUAUUUCUUCAAUAGGCGGUAAAUUCUUAAUAUCUUCAGCUUUAAUACCUUUUCCUUUCAUGGAUUUCUUUGCCUCUUUCUAUAUCUUCAGGACUGAGAAAUAGAAUACCCCUUUUCUUCGGAGUUGGUUUUGGAGUUGGUUCAGGAAGUUUCCAAUUAUUUUCAUUACUCAACAUAUUAUUCAAUAGCAAUUCAGCUUGAUCAACAGUUCUUUCCCUGAAAACACAACCAGCACAACUAUCCAGGUGGUCUCUGGAAGCAUCAGUUAGUCCAUUAUAAAAGAUAUCAAGUAUUUCAUUUUUCUUGAGAGGAUGAUCAGGCAAAGCAUUAAGUAAUUGGAGAAGCCCCCCAAGCUUGUGGGAGACUCUCUUCUUCAAUUUGCAAAAAAAUUAUAUAUUUCCCUUAAGGCAGCUUGUUUCUUAUGAGCGGGGAAAUAUUUAGCAGAGAAGUAAUAUAUCAUAUCUUGGGAACUACGCACACAACCAGGAUCAAGAGAAUUAAACCAUAUUUUAGCAUCACCCUUUAAUGAGAACAGAAAUAACUUAAGGAUAUAGUAGUAACGAAUUUUUUCCUCAUGAGUGAAUAGGGUGGCUAUAUCAUUUAAUUAGUAAGAUGUGCCAUGACAGUUUCAGAUUCAUAACCAGAGAAAGGAUCAGAUUCAACCAAAGUAAUUAACUCAGGAUCGACAGAGAAAUCAUAAUCCUUAUCAGCAAUACAGAUAGGUGAAGUAGCAAAAACAGGGUCAUAUUUCAUUCUAGCAUUCAAAGAUUUUUCUUUCAGCUUACCUAAUAAUUUCUUAAGAUCAUAUCUAUCAUUGCAAGCAAGAAAGUCUCUAGCAGUUUCUUCAUCCAUAACAUAACCCUCAAGUACAACAAGAAAUUCAUAUCUAGGGGGAGAAUCUUCAUCAUCACUUUCAUCAAUAUUAUCAGUUUCAACAAUUUCAUUCUCUCUAGCCCUAGCAAGUUGUUCAUCAAGAAAUUCACCUAGUGGCACAGUAUUAUCAAGCAUAGAAGUAGUUUCAUCAUAAGUAUCAUGCAUAGCAGAAGUGGCAUCAUCGAUAACAUGCGACAUAUCAGAAUUAAUAGCAGAAGCAGGUUUAGGUGUCGCAAGUUUACUCAUAACAGAAGCUGAAUCAAGUGCAGUGCUAGAUGGCAGAUUUUUACCUCCCCUCGUAGUUGAGGGAUAGAUCUUGGUUUUCUCGUCUUUCAAGUUCCUCAUAGUGAUCAGCAGAUAUAAAUCCAAAGUGACUCAAAGAAUAGAGCUAUGCUCCCCGGCAACGGCGCCAGAAAAUUGUCUUGAUAACCCACAAGUAUAGGCGAUCACAACAGUUUUCGAGGGUAGAGUAUUCAACCCAAAUUUAUUGAUUCGACACAAGGGGAGCCAAAGGAUAUUCUCAAGUAUUAGCAGUUGAGUUGUCAAUUCAACCACACCUGGAUAACUUAAUAUCUGCAGCAAAGUAGUAUCGAAGUAACGGUAAUAGUGGCAAAAGUAACAGUAGUAGUUUUGUAGUAAUUGUAACAGUGGCAACAGAAAAGUAACUAAGCAAAGAUUGAUACGUCUCCAUCGUAUCUACUUUUCCAAACACUUUUGCCAUUUUUUUGGACUCUAACUUGCAUGAUUUGAAUGGAACUAACCCGGACUGACGCUGUUUUCAGCAGAAUUGCCAUGGUGUUAUUUUUGUGCAGAAACAAAAGUUCUCGGAAUGACCUGAAAAUCAACGGAGAUUAUUUUUGGAAAAUAUAAAAAACACCGGCGAAAGAAUCAAGGCCAGGGGGCCCACACCCUGUCCACGAGGGUGGGGGGCGCGCCUGCCCCCCUGGGCGCGCCCCCUGCCUCGUGGGCCCCCUGGUGCUCCACCGACCUCAACUCCAACUCCAUAUAUUCGUGUUCGGGGAGAAAAAAAUCAGAGAGAAGGAUUCAUCGCGUUUUACGAUACGGAGCGCCGCCAAGCCCUAUACUCUCUCGUGAGGGCUGAUCUGGAGUCCGUUCGGGGCUCCGGAGAGGGGAAUCCGUCGCCAUCGUCAUCAUCAACCAUCCUCCAUCACCAAUUUCGUGAUGCUCACCGCCGUGCGUGAGUAAUUCCAUCGUAGGCUUGCUGGACGGUGAUGGGUUGGAUGAGAUUUAUCAUGUAAUCGAGUUAGUUUUGUUAGGGUUUGAUCCCUAGUAUCCACUAUGUUCUGAGAUUGAUGUUGCUAUGACUUUGCUAUGCUUAAUGCUUGUCACUAGGGCCCGAGUGCCAUGAACUCAGAUCUGAACCCUUUAUGUUUUCAUCAAUAUAUUUGUGUUCUUGAUCCGAUGUUGCAAGUUAUAGUCACCUACUAUGUGUUAUGAUCCGGCAACCCCGAAGUGAUCAUAAGAAAUUAUUAGCUAAGUUGAAAGAAAAAUCUCUGAAUGCUAGAAUGAAAUAUGAUCCUGCUUAUGCUACUUCACCUAUCUUUGUUACUGAUAAGGAUUACGAUUUCUCUAUUGAUACUGAGAUAAUUACUUUGGUUGAAUCUGAUCCUUUCUAUGGCUAUGAAUCUGAAACUGUUGUGGCACAUCUCACUAAAUUAAAUGGUAUAGCCACCCUAUUCACUAAUGAUGAGAAAAUUCGCUACUAUUAUAUCCUUAAAUUACUUCCGUUCUCAUUAAAGGGUGAUGCUAAGACAUGGUUUAACUCUCUUGAUCAUGGUUGUGUGCGUAGUCCCCAGGAUAUGAUUUAUUACUUCUCUGCUAAAUAUUUCCCUGCUCAUAAGAAACAAGCUGCUUUAAGGGAUAUAUAUAUAAUUUUGUGCAAAUUGAAGAAGAGAGUCUCCCACAAGCUUGGGGGAGGCUUCUCCAAUUACUUAAUGCUUUGCCUGAUCAUCCUCUUAAGAAAAAUGAAAUACUAGAUGUCUUUUAUAAUGGACUAAUCGAUGCUUCCAGAGACCACCUGGAUAGUUGUGCUGGUUGUGUUUUCAGGGAAAGAACAACUGAUCAAGGUGAAAUCCUAUUGAAUAAUAUGUUGACAAAUGAAAAUAAUUGGACACUUCCUGAACCAACUCCUAAGUCAACUCCGAAGAAAAGGGGUGUUCUAUUUCUCAGUCCUGAAGAUAUGCAAGAGGCAAAGAAAUCUAUGAAAGGAAAAGGUAUAAAAGCUGAAAAUGUUAAGAAUUUACCUCCUAUUGAAGAAAUACAUGGUCUUAAUUUACCACAUGUGGAAGAAACACAUGAUCUUGAUAACCCGAUACAGGUAGUAAAGGUAAACUCUCUCUAUAGAUAUGAUAAAGCUGAAAUCCCGCCUGCCAAGUUUGCUAGCCAAUGUUUAGAUGAGUUUGAUGAUUUUAUGGUUAAGCAAGAAAACUUCAACGCUUAUUUUGGUAGGUAAUUAAAACACAAUGCUUAUAUGAUUGAAAACUUGAGUGAUUAUAUGUCUAGAGUUAAAGGUGAACUUAAACUCAUUAGUAAACAUGCUUCCAUGGUUACCACUCAAGUUGAACAAGUACUUAAAGCUCAGAAUGAUUUGCUCAAUGAAUUAAAUAGUAAGAAUAAUGAUUUUGAUGUUAGAGUUGCAACUAGGGGAGGUAAAGUGACUCAGGAACCUUUGUAUCCUGAGGGCCAUCCUAAGAGAAUUGAGCAGGAUUCUCAGAAAAAUAAUGUUGAUACACCUAGUCCUUCUAAGAGGAAGAAAAAGAAAAAUGAUAGGACUUUGCAUACUUCUAGUGAACCUGUUGUUGACACACCUGAGAAUCCUAAUGAUAUUUCUAUUUCCGAUGCUGAAACACAAUCUGGUAAUGAACAUGAACCUAGUGAUAAUGUUAAUGAUGAUGUUCAUGUUGAUGCUCAACCUAGCAAUGAUAAUGAUGUAGAGAUUGAACCUGCUGUUGAUCUUGAUAACCCACAAUCAAAGAAUCAACGUUAUGAUAAGAGAGACUUUGUUCCUAGGAAGCACGGUAAAGAAAGAGAGCCAUGGGUUCAGAAACCCAUGCCUUUUCCUCCUAAACCAUCCAAGGAAAAGGAUGAUGAGGAUUUUGAGCGCUUUGCUGAAAUGAUUAGGCCUAUCUUUUUGCGUAUGCGAUUAACUGAUAUGCUCAAAAUGAAUCCUUAUGCUAAGUAUAUGAAAGAUAUUGUUACUAAUAAAAGAAAGAUACCGGAAUCUGAAAUUUCCACCAUGCUUGCUAAUUAUACUUUUAAGGGUGGAAUACUAAAGAAACUUGGAGAUCCAGGGGUACCAACUAUACCAUGCUCCAUUAAAAGAAACUAUGUUAGAAAUGCUUUAUGUGAUCUUGGAGCCGGUGUUAGUGUUAUGCCUCUCUCUUUAUAUCGUAGACUUGAUUUGAAUAAGUUGACACCUACUGAAAUAUCUUUGCAAAUGGCUGAUAAAUCAACUGCUAUACCUGUCAGUAUUUGUGAGGAUGUGUCUGUUGUUGCAAACGUUACUAUUUUAACAGACUUUGUUAUUCUUGAUAUUCCUGAGGAUGAGAGUAUGUCUAUUAUUCUUAGAAGACCCUUUUUGAAUACUGCAGGGGCUGUUAUUGAUUGCAACAAAGGCAAUGUCACUUUUCAUGUUAAUGGCAAUGAGCAUACGGUACACUUUCCGAGGAAACAACCUCAAGUUCAUAGUAUAAACUCUACUGGAAAAAUUCCAUCGAUUAUUUUUGGAGGUUUUGAAUUUCCUCUCCCUACUGUCAAAAGGAGAUAUGAUAUUCUUAUUAUUGGGGACGUGCAUAUCCCCGUUGAGGUAACUUAGUGCUAUUCGAAAAUUCUCCGGUUUCAUGCAAUUCGGAAUGAGUUUGUUAACAAGACCUGAUCAACCUUGUUAGUGGAUUCCUUUUGAUGAGCAUGAGAUGGAUGAAGUUAGAAGGAGGCACAACCUUCUGUACUCUCCUUUUACUUUCUGUAAUUUAGUUGAAAUAAAGUAAAAUCAGUAUUUUCUGUGUGUUUUCUGAAUUAUCCGUGCAAUAAAAAAUACCCCGAAAAUAAAAGUUCUCCAAAUGCCCCGAAAUUGAAAUAUGAUUUUUUUUCUAGAAUAUUUAAGAAUAUCUGGCACUGAGAACACAUCAGGGGGAGCUAGCACCUGGCCACGAGGGUCCAGGGCGCGCCCACCCCCUGGGCGCGCCCCCUUGCCUCGUGGAUCCAUGGUGGCUCCCCUCUACUUAUUCCUGCACCCACACACUCCUUCUUCCUCCCAAAAAAAAAUCACUAACCAGCUCAAGCACGAGUUCUAGCUCAUCUUGCUGCCAUUUUCAAUCUCCUUGCUCAAAGCUCCACUCACAAAACUGCUUUGGGGGAUUGUUCCUUGGUAUGUCACUCCUCCAAUGGUCCAAUUAGUUUUUGUUCUAGUGCUUUAUUUAUUGCAAAUUUUUGCUGCUUAGGUGACCCUGUUCUUGAGCUUGCAUGUCAAAUUUAUUUGGUCCCAAGUAGUUCUAAUGCAUGAUAUAGUCUCUAGGCACUUGUGGGAGUAGUUCCUAUCAAUUUUGUUGAGCUUGGUUCACUUUUAUUUGAAGUUACUAAAAAUUUCAGAAAUUUUUCAGAGGAAGAUAUAUGCUUAGGAAAAUGUACCAAGGUGGUUCUUCAAGGAAGCAAGGACCCAGGCCCGCAAUGCGUGAUCCGGACGAUGAUCCACCGAGGGACGCUCAAGUGCGGCCUUGUGAAUGGCCGUCAGAAGAUUUCAUGGCCCAAGCAGGAAUUAAGGAGGAAUUUGAGGCAUAUGUGCGUAACGCUGAUUUGGAGGGCUUCGUGUCAGAUAAGUGCCUCCAACAUUAUUACCUUAUUGAUUCCUUUGUGAGAAGAUUUAGAUUUUCAUCAUCACGCAACUCUCACACGGUCCUGUUUGAUCUUUAUGAUAAAUCCUAUACCAUGGACCUUGAGGAUUUUACUACCGCUUGUAAACUCCCGCAGUGGGGUAGUCCUAGUGAACCUCGCAAAUCUGAGUUUAGAGAUUUUCUUGCUAGUAUCACAGUGACGGAAUCUAGAGACAUAACACAAGCUACUACAGGGAGCAUUCAUUUUCCUACUAUACAUUAUUUUGCUCUCUUCAUAGGUAGAUGCAUAAAUGGUAAAGACGAAGCAUGUCACAUGUGUGUUCCUGAUCUCAGUGUUCCCAGGAGCGCUGUAUUAGGAGAUAAGCGAUAUAACUUGGGAGCCAUUGUUGCGCGUAGGUUGCAUAAUAAUAGUUUUAAUGGAGAUUUCUUUGGUGGAAUUUAUGCAACCCGUCUAGCUAAUUAUUUUGAGAUACCUAUUCCUGAUUAUGAUAUGGAAUUGCCUCCUGCUUUUCUAGAUUUUAAUGCCAUGGUUCGCCACCAGUUUGUUGAGAGGAAUGAACCGCCUCUCCAGUACCGACUAAUCUUUGACAGGCGCCAUGCUGUCAAUAUUGUUCUUCCUGCUCCUACUUUCAGGCAAAGGGGAGAUAUGUCAUAACCAGGGAGCACUACUAGGGAAAACCCUAGCAGUAGUGCGGGUAUUUUGCCUAUCAGUAGCGCGGGACGUCGCGCUACUGAUAAGGUGCUAUAGCUAACGUGUAGCAGUAGCGCUUGUCGUCCCAUGCUACUGCUAUACAUGGAUAGCAGUAGCACGCUUUAAUGAAGAGCGUUGCUGCUAAUAUCUGCAGCGCUUUUUACAGGGAAGCGCUACUGGUGAGGCAGCACUACUGCUAACUUUGUUCCCCUCGCUACUGCUAGUUUUAUUAUUAUUUUUCUGCAUAUUUGUUUUGUAUUUGAAUAGGCUUUAUACAAUAAUCUUUAGCAUACAUACACAUACAAAUGUAAUCGUAGCAUAUACAUACAACUAGUCUCAUCAAAUCAUGUCAUCAUCGUAAUCAUCAUCCAACACAAAGUGGUCUCUCGUCAUCAUCUCGAAAAUAGAGAUACAAGUCUCGAUUACUUGCAACUACAUUGUCAUCCAUCUAAACAAUGAUAUACGCGAGAAGAGCUAUCACUUUGAGUGAGAGCGGAACUAUGCAGUACAUGAGUUCGUAUCCCUCUCUCGCAUUAGCGUGCUAAACUAACUACUGCCUGUCGCUCAGAAACCGGAAACCGGUACACCUCGGCCUGACAGUCCGGCCACUUGUCGUAUAUAUACUCCUCGCGUAGCACUUCUUCGCCAUCGAUGAUCUAUGCACCUGCAUCGUCACAUGAGUCGAUGAUAUGCAACAUAUAUAGUUGAGCAACAUAAAGAGACAGACUUGACAAAAAUAGAAGCAACAUAUCAUAAGCAUAAAUAACAAAGUUGAUCAUACCCUAAAUGCCCUAACUAGAGUGAUCGUCGCUAGUCGAGGAGGAUGGUUUAGUUACAUCACAAAUAAAAUUUCGUCGUGCAUAACUCAAAGUUUCAUCAUACAGAAAGUAUGGACUAAACGGACUCAUUGUCAUAUAUAGACAAUCACUCCAACAUGUCGUGCCAUCCAUCCAAGUCAGGGAGAUAGUCCCCGAGCCUAGUGAAAGGCUUCAGGUCGAGACGCUGAGAGGCUACCCGUGUUCGGACGUCUUCCCACGACAUUUGUCCUUCUUCGUAGAACAUCUCUAUUUUUCCGACGAGCUCCUUCAUGAUGAUUUGGGCAAGUUCGCGCUGGAUGUGAUAGAACUCAGCUCGAAGUCGAUGAUCCUCGAUAUCUCCUACGUUCUUUGCCCAUUGCAGAAUAUGGGCAUCGUCGGAUUUAGGUGACAUGCGAAGGUUCUGGUGAUCCCGUCUGUACUCCAGCAUGUGGUGUAGGACAUAGAAUCCAUCAUUAAGAGAAUCACCCGGUUGCUGGAUGCAGCAGAAGUCGGUCUUAUGGCCGAAGGCGGGCCUGCCGUCCCUUCUCUUCUUGUCCUUGACCUCUCCACCCCAUGCGCCGUAGUGAAAGAUAGCACUGUCAAGAACAUCCUUGAUGUGGGUGUAAUCCUUUUUGUUAAUGUUCUUCGAUGAGUCCAAGUAAAGAGCGUGGGAGUAUCGGGGGUAGAGGAUGAUGAGGACGGCGCGCCCGCCGCUGCGCAAAAUAAGUACACCUCAAAUUAAUUAGCCUCCACCGUGCAAAUGAAUGAUUGAAAUCGAAGGAAGGAUAUCCGCGCGGAUGACUUACAGGGGAUGAUAAGGCACGAUAAUUGCCUCCUUGUCCUUAUUGGCGAGCAUGAAAUUGAUGAUGUAUUCCCUCGCGUAUUCACGGUGCUUUGCGCAGACUCCCAAGAAGCCCUCGUGCAUGAAGUACGGGUCAGCGACACAGAUAUGAGGUAUCUACUCAACCCCGAUGAUGUAGUUCAUGUGCAAGGCAUAAAGGCGGAAAAACGUAAAAUCCAGCUUCUUCACAUGAAACAUGUCGAAUAUGUAAUCGAAUCGAAGGAAGAACUUCUCCGCGGGGAAUGUGUCGACGUACGACAAUUGCCGUGGAACAUUAACCACGUAGAGUGGGUAUCCUGGAUCUUUCGAGGCAUUGAGGCCUUUCUCUAUCCGCAGCACAUCGUCAUGAAGUCUCCGUAGAUCGUCGAAUCUGGCCCCUAGCGCAGUUGCAGGUAGGAUUGGUUGACCGGGGAUAUGCCAUUUAUCCGCACCGGGGAUAUCCAUACGGUCUUGAACCCGAGGCUACUGAGGCGGCUGGAUCAUAGAAUCAGCUUUUUUUGGCUUUCCUCGGUCUCUUCCUAGACUAUUUAACUACCGUAAGGUCGUCCAUAAUACGUUCAGCCUCUGGAGAUGGCAAUUCAGGCACCGACUCAUGACGCUCAAACCCUAAGUAGGCGCCAGUAUAGACAUACUGUUGAGUGUCAUCGUCAUCCUCAUCCUCAUCUAUGGCGACGUCACCAGCGACUAAUGGAGCCUUUUCCUCACCCCUCCGCUAUCACCCAGCACGACAGCCGACGCUAAUUGGGUAGGUGAGGUGUUGAUGUUCAUACCUAACUACGUGCUCGUGGGUGUGCUCCCGGCCGCCUCCAGACGAAGAAGACUCUUUGGCCACAACAGGACCCACCCAUGGCAACAAUCACCAAGCCGUCGCGGGGUCUCGUCGUCAUCCCCCACUAGUACCAGAGGAGGCAAAUUCCCGUGGCCCGGUUUGACACUGGCCACUGAUACGUCUCCGUUGUAUCUACUUUUCCAAACACUUUUGCCCUUGUUUUGGACUCUAACUUGCAUAAUUGGAAUGGAACUAACACGGACUGCCGCUGUUUUCAGCAGAAUUGCCAUGUGUUAUUUAUGUGCAGAAACAAAAGUUCUCAGAAUGACCUGAAACUUCACGGAGAUUAUUUUUGGAAAUAAUAAAAAAUACUGGCGAAAGAAUCAAGGCCAGGGCGCCUACACCCUUUCCACAAGGGUGGGGGGCGCGCCUGCCCCCCUGGGCGUGCCCCCCUGCCUCGUGGGCCCCCUGGUGCUCCACCGACCUCAACUCAAACUCCAUAUAUUCGUGUUCGGGGAGAAAAAAAUCAGAGAGAAAGAUUCAUCACGUUUUACGAUACGGAGCCGCCGCCAAGCCCUAAAAUCUCUUGGGAGGGCUGAUCUGGAGUCCGUUCGGGGCUCCGGAGAGGGGAAUCCGUCGCCGUCGUCAUCAUCAACCAUCCUCCAUCACCAAUUUCAUGAUGCUCACCGCUGCGCGUGAGUAAUUCCAUCGUAGGCUUGCUGGAUGGUGAUGGGUUGGAUAAGAUUUAUCAUGUAAUCGAGUUAGUUUUAUUAGGGUUUGAUCCCUAGUAUCCACUAUGUUCUGAGAUUAUUGAUGUUGCUAUGACUUUGCUAUGCUUAAUGCUUGUCACUAGGGCCCGAGUACCAUGAUUUCAGAUCUGAACCUAUUAUGUUUUCAUGAAUAUAUGUGAGUUCUUGAUCCUAUCUUGCAAGUCUAUAGUCACCAGCCCCGAAGUGACAAUAAUCGGGAUCACUCCCGGUGAUGACCGUAGUUUGAGGAGUUCAUGUAUUCACUAUGUGUUAAUGCUUUGGUCCGGUACUCUAUUAAAAGGAGGCCUUAAUAUCCCUUAGUUUCCACUAUGACCCCGCUGGCACGGGAGGGUAGGACAAAAGAUGUCAUGCAAGUUCAUUUCCAUAAGCACGUAUGACUAUAUUCGGAACACAUGCCUACGUUACAUUGAUGAAUUUGAGCUAGUUCUAUGUCACCCUAUGUUAUGAUUGUUACAUGAUGAACCGCAUCCGGCAUAAUUCUCCAUCAUCGAUCCAAUGCCUACUAGCUUUUCACAUAUUGCUCUUUGCUUAUUUACUUUACCGUUGCUACUAUUACCAUCACUACAAUACUGCUAUCGUUACCUUUGCCACUGUUACCGUUACUAUCAUACUACUUUGCUACUAAAUACUUUGCUGCAGAUAUUAAGUUAUCCAGGUGUGGUUGAAUUGACAACUCAACUGCUAAUACUUGAGAAUAUUCUUUGGCUCCCCUUGUGUCGAAUCAAUAAAUUUGGGUUGAAUACUCUACCCUCGAAAACUGUUGCGAUCCCCUAUACUUGUGGGUUAUCAAGACUAUUUUCUGGCGCCGUUGCUGCGGAGCAUAGCUCUAUUCUUUGAGUCACUUGGGAUUUAUUUCUGCUGGUCACUAUGAAGAACUUGAAAGACGCGAAAACAAAAAUUUAUCCCUCAACUACGAGGGGAGGUAAGGAACUGCCAUCUAGCUCUACACUUGAUUCACCUUCUGUUUUGAGUAAGCUUGCGACACCUAAACCUGCUUCUGCUAGUAAUUCUGAUAUGUCACAUGUUAUUGGAGGGGGAGUAUAAACUUUACCAUUCUGUUUGGGAACCGCCUAUAAUGUGUGUAGCAUGGACGAUAUCGCCAUCUCUUGGUUGUUAUGUUGACAAUGAAAGUAUGCCGCUCAAAAUAUUAUUUAUCUCUAUUUCAAAACCGAGCUCUGGCACCUCUACAAAUCCCUGCUUCUCUUUGCAAAGGGCAUAUCUAUUUACUUUUAUGUUGAGUCAUCACCCUCUUAUUAAAAAGCAUCGGCUGGAGAGCACUGCUGUCAUUUGCAUCCAUUAUAAUUACUUUAUAUUGGGUAUGACUAUGACUGGAUCUCUUUUACCAUGAAUUACAAUGUUUAGUCAGUCCUUGAUCUUUAAAGGUGCUCUGCAUUUAUGUUUUGCGGUCUCAGAAAGGGCUAGCGAGAUACCAUCUUGUUAUAUCAUAUUAUGAUUGUUUUGAGAAAGUGUUGUCAUCCGAGAUUUAUUAUUAUUGCUUGCUAGUUGAUUAUGUCAUUGAUAUGAGUAAACAUGAGACCUAAGUGUUAUUGUGAGUGUGGUUAGUUCAUAAUCUUUGCUGAAAACUUGAAUGCUGGCUUUACAUAUUUACAACAACAAGAGCAAACAGAGUUUGUAAAAGUUUUUCUUUAUCACUUUCAGUUUGUCAACUGAAUUGCUUGAGGACAAGCAAAGGUUUAAGCUUGGGGGAGUUGAUACGUCUCCGUCGUAUCUACUUUUCCAAACACUUUUGCCCUUGUUUUGGACUCUAACUUGCAUAAUUUGAAUGGAACUAACCCGGACUGACGUUGUUUUCAGCAGAAUUGCCAUGGUGUUAUUUAUGUGCAGAAACAAAAGUUCUCGGAAUGACCUGAAACUUCACAGAGAUUAUUUUUGGAAAUAAUAAAAAAAUACUGGCGACAGAAUCAAGGCCAGGGGGCCACACCCUUUCCACGAGGGUGGGGGGCGCGCCCCUUGCCUCGUGGGCCCCUUGUUGCUCCACCGACCUCAACUCCAGCUCCAUAUAUUCGUGUUCUGGGAGAAAAAAAUCAGAGAGAAAGAUUCAUCGCGUUUUACGAUACGGAGCUGCCGCCAAGCCCUAAACUCUCUCGGGAGGGCUGAUCUGGAGUCUGUUCGGGGCUCCGGAGAGGGGAAUCCGUCGCCGUCGUCAUCAUCAACUAUCCUCCAUCACCAAUUUCAUGAUGCUCACCGCCGUGCGUGAGUAAUUCGAUCGUAGGCUUGCUGGACGGUGAUGGGUUGGAUGAGAUUUAUCAUGUAAUCGAGUUAGUUUUGUUAGGGUUUGAUCCCUAGUAUCCACUAUGUUCUGAGAUUGAUGUUGCUAUGACUUUGCUAUGCUUAAUGCUUGUCACUAGGGCCCGAGUGCCAUGAUUUCAGAUCUGAACCUAUUAUGUUUUCAUGAAUAUAUGUGAGUUCUUGAUCCUAUCUUGCAAGUCUAUAGUCACCUACUAUGUGUUAUGAUCUGGCAACCCCGAAGUGACAAUAAUCGGGACCACUCCCGGUGAUGAUCUUAGUUUGAGGAGUUCAUGUAUUCACUAUGUGUUAAUGCUUUGGUCCGGUACUCUAUUAAAAGGAGGCCUUAAUAUCCCUUAGUUUCCACUAGGACCCCGCUGCCACGGGAGGGUAGGACAAAAGAUGUCAUGCAAGUUCUUUUCCAUAAGCACGUAUGACUAUAUUUGGAAUACAUGCCUACAUUACAUUGAUGAAUUGGAGCUAGUUCUAUGUCACCCUAUGUUAUGAUUGUUACAUGAUAAACCGCAUCCGGCAUAAUUCUCCAUCACCGAUCCAAUGCCUACGAGCUUUUCACAUAUUGCUCUUUGCUUAUUUACUUUACCAUUGCUACUGUUACAAUCACUACAAUACUGCUAUCGUUACCUUUGCCACUGUUACCGUUACUGUCAUACUACUUUGCUACUAAAUACUUUGCUGCAGAUAUUAAGUUAUCCAGGUGUGGUUGAAUUGACAACUCAACUGCUAAUACUUGAGAAUAUUCUUUGGCUCCCCUUGUGUCGAAUCAAUAAAUUUGGGUUGAAUACUCUACCCUCGAAAAUUGUUGCGAUCCCCUAUACUUGUGGGUUAUCAGCCACGGAAACCUUGAAGACGUUCGGGGGGAUCGGCUGGCUGUGGAACAAUGGUUCCUUCGGCUUCAUUAUCGUCGCCUUCCCCACGUUCACCUUCUGGUCGCCGAUGGUGUACAAUAUGGUGCACGGGGUUUCGUCGGCCUGCAAAGAAAAGUCUGCGACGUGAGACAUCCGAAAGGCAACGAAAACGGGAGAUUAUACAUUUAUUGAAGGGGGCCGGUGUGACAGAUACCGUGAGGGCAUGGAGCUCAGCCAAAGACGAAGCACCGCCGAGCACGUCUGGUGCCGGAGCCGGUGCCGGAGCAGGUGCGAGAGCCGGUGUGGGAGCCGGUGUGGGAGCCGGUGCGGGAGCAGCUGCAGCUGCAGGUGCUGGUGCAACGCUAGUCGAGCUGCUCCCCAAGAAGUCAGCAAAGGGAAAGUCCUCUGCAUUUUUAUCUGGAUUUUGCCUGCUCCAAUUGAAAACGGCCGGAACCAAGGUAGUAGACAUAUCUACAAGCACCUGUUUUGCGGCAGCUACCACUGUCGCGACUGUCUCGGAUGAUUUCUUCUCAACCGCAAUCUCAACCUUCUUGUCGAUGUUUUCUUCAGUUAACCUCCGUCUUUCCUUUCUCUCCUCUGUGGUCUCACGGUAGUACUUCUUCCAGGUGGCGCCGUCUCCAACACCGUGCACGCGUCCGUAUGAUGGUCGAGUCUCCACCGGGAGUCAUUUCAAUAUGUUCAAUGCCCGGUUGAAUGGAGUGUCCCACUUGGGCCUCGCCAACGCCUCAGACGGCGAGUCGCUUUCGGUCGCAAUCCUGUGCUGCUCUCUCUGCAAAAGGCACAAGGAUCGUUUACAAAUAUGACUAACGUGCAGUCAAAUUGAUCAGAAACUAAAAUUACCAGCAGUCUCAUGAACUCUGUCGUGACCGCGUUCGUCUUGAAAACCUUCUUCACUGGGUCCCAAUGGUGCCGGGCCCUGAGGACGUCACGCUCCUGCGGGAUGGUGAACUCCGCCAAGGGGUUUGGGAUGCCCAGACUCGCGGCUUCCGCGUCCUCCUUGGCCCAUAUGGACCUCUUCCCGCCGUAACCACGACUUCCGAGGUGGUGGCACCCAAUGUUCCUCUGUUGAAGCCCCUUCAUGUACUUCGACUUUUUUUGGCAGCUUUGGCCUCGCAAGCCGCCUUGAAUAUUUCAAACUGCUCUGUCGUGAUUGUUGGAUUAUCCUUUACAAUCUCAGAGUAGGGUUCUUUUUUGUCGAUGAUCCUUGCUUUCACCCUUGUUUUCCAGGCGGCCAAUGCGUCGCUAAACUUGGUCAUGGCGUGUUUGUUUAUCUUCUUCAUUGCCGGGUCCUUAUCUGGAUCUUUAAAAUCCUUUUCAUUCCGGCCCGGGAACAAGAAUAUCUGGUGCAGCUUCUUUAGGAGGGAGGGCCUCAUAUUAUCUAUCUUCUAUAGUUUCUCAUCGUUGAUGAUGGCGGUUGUCCGUACGAUGCAGCCUAUUUGAUUGCUGUAGCACGCGCGCGCUUCCUCGUGCGCGUUUGGCUCAAAAUUGCCGUCGUCCACCUCUGUGACCACCAGUCUAGUAGUCCUGAGCUUGUUAGGAAGUCGUUGCCUCUUUGCUUUCGGUUCUACACCGGCUCCGCUAGUCUCGGCGCCGGUCUCAGUCUGAGCGCCGGUCUCGAUGCCGGUCUCAGUCUCAGCGUCGGUCUCAGUCUCAGCACCGGUCUGCGUGUCGGUCUCAGUCCCCGAUGCCACCGGUGGGCCCAACAACAACAUCGGUUGAUCGUCGGCAAGGCUCAAAAAUUCGUCUGCCGCCAGGUAGACGUCGUCGCAAUCACCAGAACCCUGUCCUUCAUCGUUGCUAGCCAUGUUUCCUACGAUUAAAUCUAGUCAAUUAAUUCUAGACCUAAUAAAAUGAAUAAUGACAUAAAAAAGGCCUAUUGUUUUGAGAACGUUGACUCCUUCCCGGUGCAGCAAAUCCCAGGCACUCGAUAUGUCCUAGUUUGUAGCACAAGUCAUGCCGAAAUUCACGGAAAUUUUGGGCAUGACCUUUGCUAAAAAGUGGACAAAUCGAGAACCUGAAAUUUGCCGGAACGAAAAUGAAUCAACAUUAACAUAGGCCAUUCAGCAUCAUUCCCUGGAAACAACAAAAGGCCACUUGGGCACAAUCGAAACAUGUGCAAACACAAUUGAGGAAUUUGCAUAUAUCCUGACCACUUCAAAUUUGCAUGUCCUAGUGUUUGACACUACAAGAAAAUCUACACAAAUCUCAUGCUCUCUCAAACUCAAUUCAAAAACCAAAUAUAGAUUAUAUUUAGUUAACUACUGAACUAAACUUUACUCUAAACUAAACCCUACUGCCCUAAUUAACAUCAACAUUAUCUACUACUUAACAUCUAUUAUUACCCUAACUAAAAAACAUCAACAUUAUCUACUACUUAACAUUAACAUCUAUUAACUAAAAAGGAUAGGUGGGGGGCUUACAGAGAGGGGAGAGACGGUGGCGGGGAGGUGCUUAGCGACGGAGGUAGGGGCGGAGAGGGCGGGCUUGGGAUCGGGAGGCGGCGGUCCUGGGCUGGCUCGGGGGCGGUGAGGUCGAGGGCGGCGCCAGUGAGAUCGAGGGAGGCGACGGUGAGGUCGAGGGCGGCCCGAGAGGCGGCGGUGGUGAGGCUGGGCGGCCUCGGGCAGCGGCGGUGAGGAUGAGCGCGGCGUUGACGCCGGCAGGAGACGGCGGUGAAGUGGGGGCGACGGCGAAGUGGGGGAGACAACGACGAAGUGGGGCGAGGGAUUUGGGGGAGAAGUGGUGGCCGGGGGGAAACCAUUUUUGGGUUAAGUCAAAAGUAACGGUAGCGCGUUACAGAAAACGCCCUAUAGCUAAGUUAGCUAUAACGCGUUUCAGCGAACGCGCUACUGCUACGUCUUCAUCCUUUUUUCCCUUUUUCAUUUAUUUUUCUUUACAUUAUAUAUUUUUCCUUUCUCCUUUUUCCAUUUCUUUCAUUUUCAUUUACUUUUCUAUUCUUUUUUCAUUUUAUUUUAUUUUCGUUAGCAGUAGCGCUUUACGCAUAAAUGCACUGCUAUAAGAAUAUUAGCGGUAGCGCGGUUUUUGGAAGAUCGCUACUACUAUGUGUAGCCCAUCGGCUUAGUGGUUGGAAUUUUAGUAGUUGCGAGUUUGCGGUGAGACACGCUACUGAUAUAUAUAUAUGCAUCUGCAGCGCGCUUAUUUUGCACGCGCUACUGCUGUCUAGCAGUAGCGUGCUUUUUUAACAAGUGCUACUGCUAAAGUUCUAUGUAUAACGUUUUCCCUAGUAGUGGAGGAGGCAAAUGAGUACGAGAGGAGCACGAGAGCAGCUCGCCUCCAAGCUGCAGCCCAUGAUGCAAUAGCCGCUACAUCUCAGUACGACCCCAACUACAACUUUGGAUAUCCGCCAGGCCAGCCGUGGUAGUAGACCAACUUAGGCCAAAAGCCUAAGCUUGGGGGAGUACGUAUUUCUUACCGACAUUACAUUUAUGCUCACACACUCAUGCUAGUUGUCGGUGCUCAUACUUUUUCACUGUAAUAUCCAUGCUAGUUUUAUUUUCCUUUUCAUGCUUUCUUCUUGUGUGUUUGAAAAACCUUAAGAAAAACCAAAAAAAUUAGUUGUAGCUUUUAGCUAGUUUACUUUUCAUGUUGUAGUAGUAGUAAUUAAAAAGAAAAUCCAAAAAGAUUUCUUGUUCUACUUUUGCUUGUUGGGAGCUUUCCCGUGUAAAUAGUUUUAUUUUUCUUUUCUUUGAGGGUCGAUAGGAGAAGACCAUGAUGAAAUUGUUGAAGUGGCUCUUACAUGCAUUAUUGUUGAUUUAACCAAAAGCCCAUAUUGCCUUGUCUUCUCCUGUUUAUUGAAUGCUUGCAGAUUCCGGCUUAGUCCAAUGCACGUGCACUAUUAUUAUUAUUAUUCACAUCGUUCGGUCGUGCAAGUGAAAGGCAAUUAUGACGAUAUAUGAUGGACUGAUUGAGAUGAGAUAAGCUGGUAUGAACUCGACAUCUUUUGUUUUUGUAAAUAUGAUUAGUUCAUCGUUCCUGAUUCAGCCUAUUAUGAAUAAACAUGUUUACAAUGACAAUUAGAGAUUAUAGUUACGUAUGCCAUGCUUAAUUAGCUAGGAGUUUAUAAUGGCUUACCUUGCAUGCCAACAUGCUAUUAAAAUGGUUGUGAUGUGGUAUGACAGGGUGGUAUCCUCCUUUGAAUGAUUCGAGUGACUUGACUUGGCACAUGUUCACGCAUGUAGUUGAAACAAAAUCAACAUAGCCUCCAUGAUAUUUAUGUUCAUGGUGGAUUAUAUCCUACUCAUGCUUGCACUCAAUGUUCAUUAAUUUUAAUGCAUGUUCAUGACUGUUGUCGCUCUCUGGUUGGUCGCUUCCCAGUCUUUUGCUAGCCUUCACUUGUACUAAGCGGGAAUACUGCUUGUGCAUCCAAUCCCUUGAACCCCAAAGUUAUUCCACAUGAGUCCACCAUACCUUCCUAUAUGCGGUAUCUACCUGCCGUUCCAAGUAAAUUUGUAUGUGCCAAACUCUAAACCUUCCAAUGAAAUUCUGUUUUGUAUACUCGAAAAGCUCAUGUAUCAACUAGGGUUGUCUGUAUCUUCCAUGUUAGGCGGGUUAUUCUCAAGAGGAGUGGACUCCGCUCCUCACUCACGAGAAAAUGGCUGGUCACCGGGAUGCCUAGUCCCAUGCUUUAUGCAAACCAAAUCAAAAUUAUUGCAAAAAACUCCCCCAGGGUUGUUGCUAGUUGGAGGCACUUGUUGUUUCGAGCAAGCCAUGGAUUGAUGCUUGUUGGUGGAGGGGGAGUAUAAACUUUACCAUUCUGCUUGGGAACCACCUAUAAUGUGUGUAGCAUGGAAGAUAUCGCCAUCUCUCGGUUGUUAUGUUGACAGUGAAAGUAUACCACUCAAAAUAUUAUUUAUCUCUAUUUCAAAAUCGAGCUCUGGCACCUCUACAAAUCCCUACUUCCCUCUGUGAAGGGCCUAUCUAUUUACUUUUAUGUUGAGUCAUCACCCUCUUAUUAAAAAGCACCAGUUGGAGAGCACCGCUGUCAUUUGCAUCCAUUACUAUUAAUUUAUAUUGAGUAUGACUAUGACUGGAUCUCUUUUACCAUGAAUUACAAUGUUUAGUUAGCCCUUGAUCUUUAAAGGUGCUCUGCAUUUAUGUUUUGCGGUCUCAGAAAGGGCUAGCGAGAUACCAUCUUGUUAUGUCAUAUUAUGAUUGUUUUGAGAAAGUGUUGUCAUCCGAGAAUUAUUAUUAUUGCUCGCUAGUUGAUUAUGCCAUUGAUAUGAGUAAACGUGAGACCUAAGUGUUAUUGUGAAUAUGGUUAGUUCACAAUCUGUGCUGAAAACUUGAAUGCUGGCUUUACAUAUUGACAACAACAAGAGCAAACAGAGAGUUUGUAAAAGUUUUUCUUUAUCACUUUCAGUUUGUCAACUGAAUUGCUUGAGGACAAGCAAAGGUUUAAGCUUGGGGGAGUUGAUAUGUCUCCGUCGUAUCUACUUUUCCAAACACUUUUGGCCGUGUUUUGGACUCUAACUUGCAUGAUAUGAAUGGAACUAACACGGACUGAUGGUGUUUUCAGCAGAAUUGCCAUGGUGUUAUUUUUGUGCAGAAACAAAAGUUCUCGGAAUGACCUAAAAAUCAAUGGAGAUUAUUUUUGGAAAAUAUAAAAAAUACUGGCGAAAGAAUCAGGGCCAUGGGCCCACACCCUGUCCACGAGGGUGGGGGGCACGCCCCCCUGCCUCGUGGGCCCCCUAGUGCUCCAUCGACCUCAACUCCAACUCCAUAUAUUCGUGUUCGGGGAGAAAAAUAUCAGAGAGAACGAUCCAUCGCGUUUUACGAUAUGGAGCCGUCGCCAAGCCCUAAACUCUCUCGGGAGGGCUGAUCUGGAGUCCGUUCGGGGCUCCGGAGAGGGGAAUCCGUCGCCAUCGUCAUCAUCAACCGUCCUCCAUCACCAAUUUCAUGAUGCUCACCGCCGUGCGUGAGUAAUUCCAUCGUAGGCUUGCUGGACGGUGAUGGGUUGGAUGAGAUUUAUCAUGUAAUCGAGUUAGUUUUGUUAGGGUUUGAUCCCUAGUAUCCACUAUGUUCUUAGAUUGAUGUUGCUAUGACUUUGCUAUGCUUACUUGUCACUAGGGCCCGAGUGCCAUGAACUCAGAUCUGAACCCUUUAUGUUUUCAUCAAUAUAUUUGUGUUCUUGAUCCGAUAUUGCAAGUUAUAGUCACCUACUAUGUGUUAUGAUCCAGCAACCCCGAAGUGACAAUAAUCGGGACCACUCCCGGUGAUGACCGUAGUUUGAGGAGUCCAUGUAUUCACUAUGUGUUAAUGCUUUGGUCCGGUACUCCAUUAAAAGGAGGCCUUAAUAUCCCUUAGUUUCCGCUAGGACCCCGCUGCCACGGGAGGGUGACAAAAGAUGUCAUGCAAGUUCUUUUCCAUAAGCACGUAUGACUAUAUUCGGAAUACAUGCCUACAUUACAUUGAUGAAUUGGAUCUAGUUCCGUGUCACCCUAUGUUAUAACUGUUACAUGAAUAAUCACAUCCGACAUAAUUAUCCAUCACCGAUCCAAUGCCUACGAGCUUUUCACAUAUUGUUCUCCGCUUAGUUACUCUACCGUUGCUAUUGUUACAAUCACUACAAUACUGCUACUGUUACCUUUGCCACUAUUACCGUUACUAUCAUACUACUUUGCUACUAAAUACUUUGCUGCAGAUAUUAAAUUAUCCAGGUGUGGUUGAAUUGACAACUCAACUGCUAAUACUUGAGAAUAUUCUUUGGCUCCCCUUGUGUCGAAUCAAUAAAUUUGGGUUGAAUACUGUACCCUCGAAAACUGUUGCGAUCCCCUAUACUUGUGGGUUAUCAAAGAUCAAUAUGUGAGAAGCUCGUAGGCAAUGGAUCAGUGAUGGAUAAUUAUGUCGGAUGCGAUUCCUCAUGCAACAGUUAUAACAUAGGGUGGCACAGAACUAGCUCCAGUUCAUCAAUGUAAUGUAGGCAUGUAUUCCGAAUAUAGUCAUACAUGCUUAUGGAAAAGAACUUGCAUGACAUCUUUUGUCCUACCCUCCCGUGGCAGCAGGGUCCUACUGGAAACUAAGGGAUAUUAAGGCCUCCUUUUAAUAGAGUACUGGACCAAAGCAUUAACACUUAGUGAAUACAUGAACUCCUCAAACUACGGUCAUCAUCGGGAGUGGUCCCGCUUAUUGUCACUUCGGGGUUGCCGGAUCAUAACACAUACUAGGUGACUAUUGACUUGCAAGAUAGGAUCAAGAACUCACAUAUAUUCAUGAAAACAUAAUAGGUUCAGAUCUGAAUUCAUGGCACUCGGGCCCUAGUGACAAGCAUUAAGCAUAGCAAAGUCAUAGCAACAUCAAUCUCAGAACAUAAUGGAUACUAGGGACCAAACCCUAACAAAACUAACUCGAUUACAUGAUAAAUCUCAUCCAACCCAUCACCGUCCAGCAAGCCUAUGAUGGAAUUACUCACGCAUGGCGGUGAGCAUCAUGAAAUUGGUGAUGGGGGAAGGUUGAUGAUGGCGACGGUGAUGUAUUCCCCUCUCCGGAGCCCCGAUCGGACUCCGGAUCAGCCCUCCCGAGAGAGAUUAGGGCUUGGCGGUGGUUCCGUAUCAGAAAACACGAUGAAUCCUUCUCUCUGAUUUUUUUUCUCCCCGAACGUGAAUAUAUGGAGUUUGAGUUGAGGUCGGUGGAGCAUCAGGGGGCCAACGAGACAGGGGGCGCGCCCAGGGGGUUGGCGCUCCACCACCCACGUGGACAGGGUGUGGGGCCCCUGGUCUUGACUCUUUUGCCAGUAUUUUUUAUAUAUUCCAAAAUAUUCUCCAUGAAGUUUCAGGUCAUUCCGAGAAAUUCUAUUUCUGCACAAAAAUAACACCAUGGCAAUUCUGCUGAAAACAGCGUCAGUCCGGGUUAGUCCCAUUCUAAUCAUGCAAGUUAGAGUCAAAAACAAGGGCAAAAGUGUUUGGAAAAGUAGAUAUGAUGGAGACGUAUCAAUGCUGCACCAGCACCCAAGUCCCAAAAGCUAAUGGGGGAUGCAAUUAAGUCAGGGGCUGCUACUUCAAAGCCCAAGAUUUCCCCCAAAGCUGUUGCUCAAGCUCAAAAGACUUCAAAGCCCAAGAGGAGCACUAGGAACAUUCCAGCUGCAAAGAAGAACAAGGCCCCAGUGCCUGAGAUGGAAGAAGAAGAUGCUGAAGCCCAAGUGCUAAGGAAACUUAAACCAAAGAUUCCAGACCAUGAUGACAGCCAUCCAGGGGCAGAGGAUAUGUGCAUCAGGAAGGAUGCAGGUCUGAGACUUUGGAGACAGAGUGAGGAGGAAGACCGCAGUGGACUACAGGUUCCACACCAAAGAACAACAAGAUUUCUAUGAAACUAUUCUGCUUGACAAGAAGCUCAUAGUUUGUGACUUGAAGUGGGCUGACUGGAAGUACAUUGAUGGGAAUGAAGAUCAUUUUCCAGGUGUACAUGAGAGCUUUAGAGCUUGUGGUGUUGACAAGUUUUUGGGUCAUACGUUGACAAAAUGGAAUGAUGAACUCAUCAUGCCAUUCUACUCUACGGCUCAUUUUUAUCCAGGUGGUAGAAUUGUAUGGAUGUCUGAGGGUACAAGGUACCAGUCAACUGUUGAUGAGUGGGCUAAGUUGAUAAAUGCCCCUGAAGAGCAUGAAGAUGACUUGGAUGUCUAUGCCAAGAAGAAGAAAGACCACAACUCUAUGGCCAAUAUGUACAAAGAGAUCCCAAACAAAGCUUUGGAUACACAUAUAUUUGGAUCUGUUCAUUACUUAUUGUCUGGUCUAGCUACAAUCAACACUAUAUUGAGGCAUACUUUGUUGCCCAAAAUCUGGAGAUCACAAGAUGAUCAGAGGCCAUUCAAUCAAUUUGCUGCAGAUAUUUGAUGUGCCUCAGAAAUUCAAAGUUAUGAGCCUGAUUGUUGAAACAAUCAAGAGGACUGCUGCUAAUCAGAAGAGAUCUUGUGGGUAUGCUCCACAUAUUCAGGUGCUCAUCAACUCCAAGAUGGGCACAAGCACCUAUUUGUUGGAUAAGGAGCAUCUACCCCUAAGACCAGAAUUUGAGGACAAUACUGUUGUGAUGAAUGAAGAAGAUCCCACAUCUGUUCAAGCAUAAGAGAAGAGAGAAAAGGCAAAGGCAGAAAAAGCUACAAAGAUGCCAAGUGUUGAAGAGGCAUUUCAGGUAUUUUUGAAGAGCAAACAAGAUCAGCUUGCAUAUCUGAUUCAAGCAACUUUGAGGAUUGGGAUGGGCUUGGCCACCCUGACUCAAAAUCAGGAGAGCCUAGAGAGGAUCAUUGAGACCAAAUUCUAUGAUCUUGAUCUUAAAGUGACUGAGAUGUAGACAGCUGUUGAGCAGCUCCAGGAGGAAGCAGGCUACAACAGAUGCCUUUUAGAGAGUGCCUAGAGGUCAGAGGUCAGCUGCAGUGCCCAUGGCUGACACUAGAGCAACUACAUCAGCACCAGCAGCUACAUCUUCAAUGCCACCUCCAGUUGCCAGUCCACCAGCUCCAACAACAUCUACAUAUGCCUUCAUCCUUGGAGUCCUCUCAACACCACCUCCCGAAGAUCAAGCCUAGAGAGACGCAUAGCACUAUGCAUCUUCAAACUUUUUUGUAACUUGUUGCCAAAGGGGGAGAAAUGUAUAGAUCAUAGGCUUCGAGAGAGAGUGUUUUUGCUUCUUUGGUAUCUUGCCAUUUGGUUGAAACUUUUGUGUGUGCUUGUUUAACACUCUUUAUGUUUGUGUGUGAGAGACUUGUAUGAUCAUGUGUUUGAUCAUAUCCUAAUUUAAUGCUUGCUUGGAUGAUAUUAUCUUUUAUAUCCCAUAUAUGAUCAUUCACUUUGCUUGGUGAUGAGUGCAUGCUUUUAAUUUCUAUCAUUUUGAGCACUCCACCAAGAUGUAUGUGACAUGGAAGAGUAACCCAUGAUCCUAAUCGAUUGUGCAUUUGCAUUCAAAAGCAAAUUUUAAUUAAUGCACAUACUUAGGGGGAGCUCUUGCUUAUCACACACUUCUCAAAUCGACGAUGUUUUUAAAUCUUAUUAUCAUUUGUCGAAGCUUUGAUCUAUAUGUUGUCAUCAAUUACCAAAAAGGGGGAGAUUGAAAGUGCAACUAUCCCUGGGUGGUUUUGGUAAUUCCUAACAACAUAUAGCUCAUUGAACUAAUGCUACUUCAAGAUGAUUAUUUCAAAAAGUUCAAUGAUUGGCAUGGCAUGGACUAGGAAUGUGGACCCCUCAAAAUGCUAAGGACACAUAUUGGCUCAAGCUCAAGACUCUACAUUUUCAUUUUAGUGAUCCAAGAUCACAUUGAGUCCAUAGGAAAAGCCAAUACUAUGAAAAGGGGAUGAGGUGUUGCUUAAUGGCUUGCUUUCUCAAAAUGCUUAGUGAUAUGCUCCAAAAGCCCUCAACCACUUUAUCAUAUCCACAUAUGUCCCAAACCAAAAGUCAAACUCGGCCCCACCGAUUUGAUCUAUCCGGCGCCACCGAGUUCAUAACUGCCAGAAACCCUAGUCACUUCGGUCUCACCGACAGGGAUCUCGGUCUCACCGAGAUGGGAUUGCAAACUCUCUGUUUUCCUUCGUAACGUUUCGGUCAAACCGAGAUGAGCAAUCGUUCCCACUGAGUUCGCAAUGCAAACUCUCUGUUUCCUUUUCGUAACGUUUCGGUCUCACCGAAAUGAGCGAUUCGGUCCCACCGAGUUUGCCUGACCAACUCUCUGGUUGUUCAUUACAGAAAUCGGUCCUACCGAGUUUGUAUGAUCGGUCUCACCGAGAUUACGAUAUGCCCUAACCCUAAUGAAAUCGGUCCCACCGAGUUGACAUGUCGGUCGCACCGAAAAUCCUAACGGUCACAUUUUAAACUAAAUCGGUCUGACCGAGUUUUAUGAUUCGGUCCCACCGAGUUUGGUAAAUUGUGCGUAACGGUUAGAUUUUGUGUGGAGGCUAUAUAUACCCCUCCACCCACUCUUCAUUCGUGGAGAGAGCCAUCAGAACGUGCCUACACUUCCCACAUACAUUUUCUGAAAGAGAACCACCUACUCAUGUGUUGAGACCAAUAUAUUCCAUUCCGACCACAUGAAUCUUGAUCUCUAACCUUCUCUAAGUUGCUUUCCACUCAAAUUAUCUUUCCACCAAAUCCAAAUCCGUGAGAGAGAGUUGAGUGUUGGGGAGACUAUCAUUUGAAGCACAAGAGCAAGGAGUUCAUCAUCAACACACCAUCUAUUACCUUUUGGAGAGUGGUGUCUCCUAGAUUGGUUAGGUGUCACUUGAGAGCCUCUGUCAAGAUUGUGGAGUUGAACCAAGGAGUUUGUACACGCAAUGAGAUCGCCUACUUCGUGAAGAUCUACCCUAGUGAGGCAAGUCCUUCGUGGGCGAUGGCCAUGGUGGGAGAGACAAGGUUGCUUGUUCGUGGACCCUUCGUGGGUGGAGCCCUCCGUGGACUCGCGCAACCGUUACCCUUCGUGGAUUGAAGUCUCCAUCAACGUGGAUGUACGAUAGCACCACCUAUCGGAACCACACCAAAAAUCUUCGUGUCUACAUUGCGUUUUUUGCUCCCUCCAAACUCCUCCCUUUACCUUCACAUGCAAAUGUUUUACAUUCCGCUGCUAUACUCUUAGACUUGCAUCUGUAGGUUGAUUGCUUGACUUGUGCUAAGUUGCCAAAAUCUGCCAAGACUUAAAAUUAGGAAAAAGAUAGAUUUUUAUUUGGUCAAGUAGUCUAAUCACCNNNNNNNNNNNNNNNNNNNNNNNNNNNNNNNNNNNNNNNNNNNNNNNNNNNNNNNNNNNNNNNNNNNNNNNNNNNNNNNNNNNNNNNNNNNNNNNNNNNNNNNNNNNNNNNNNNNNNNNNNNNNNNNNNNNNNNNNNNNNNNNNNNNNNNNNNNNNNNNNNNNNNNNNNNNNNNNNNNNNNNNNNNNNNNNNNNNNNNNNNNNNNNNNNNNNNNNNNNNNNNNNNNNNNNNNNNNNNNNNNNNNNNNNNNNNNNNGGCUUCCUCCGUUGGGCCAAAACGGAUGACAAGUAACGAAACCAAAUAGCGUACGUGUGAAAUUAAUUAAAGCAGAACCAAACGAAGCGGGACGAAAUCAAGAAUAUCACCUACCUUUAAUAAUAGGUAUAGACAUCGGCCUUUCAAAAAUAGAUUCCUGCCGUGUUGAUGCAUGUCGCCACUUCAGGCCAUGGUCUGGUGGCAGUAAUCGUGUGCAAAUAAAUAUUGCUUCCUUGUAAAACUAGUACAUGCAUACGUGCAAGGCACAUUGAUAGUAGGCAGAAAAUUAAUUACACAUUGAUAUCACACAGAAAAUUCAUUGCGCGUUUGAUAAUAGGUAGGAUAUUAGAUGAUCGUAUCUUCUCCCCAACAAUAAUUUACAAUGUUCAUUUGCUUCGCAAAUAUUGCUUUAAUUCGAAUAUUAAAUAAUUCAAAUUUAUGGUGCUCCAAAAUAUUCAUUUGCUUCUAUAAAAGUACUACCAAAAGAGAGCCUUGCAACCCACAGAAAUUCCGAAGAACGACAUAACAUAGAGAAGGAAAAAAAGGCCGUCAUGGCAAUAUUCAACAAGAACACAAGUGCCCAGUGCUCUUGUGCUCAUCGCUACUGUCAUUUCGUCUUGCGAUGCGUUUGGCCCAGGUACGUGCGUCUCUGACCUAACUAUAAGUCAAUGUGGUUUUGCCAUGUGAUGCUAAUUUUCUAUGUAUUUCACAAUGUUGAGUUGUAUGGAUCUUAUGGCAUCUGGUCUUGUCUGGGUAUUCUUCUAACAAUGUUUUUUUUGUGAACAUGUAGAAGGAGGAUGUUUCAUGCCUUUCCUGAGUUGCAAUCUGGACUUAUGCAGGCAUGACUGCAACGGUUUAUUUGCCUCUUGCCAAAUGAUAGGCGACUUGCACCACCGAUGUUGUUGCGCUCCCAAGAAACUCAGUGCAUCUAUUGAUAAGAAUAGUCGUCCUUGAGAUAUGCAUUCCGAAAUUGUAGUUUAUAUGUCACUGCUUUUGCCUGGAUCCAAUUCCGCGCGACUGAGUAAAAUUUAUCGCCAUUGAAAAAAUAUCGCUCCUGAGAUAUUUACGUAUCGUGUGAAACCAUAGUGCUUUGUUUGGAUGUUCAUAUCCGAACCUCAACAUUGAUAUUGGGGCCAAUAUCAACUCAACUUGGACAUUGAUAUUGACACGUAAGAUAAAU
rnacentral:lncRNA from 1 species